UACGUAGGGGGCAAGCGUUGUCCGGAAUCAUUGGGCGUAAAGCGCGUGUAGGCGGCCCGGUAAGUCCGCUGUGAAAGUCGGGGGCUCAACCCUCGAAUGCCGGUGGAUACUGUCGGGCUAGAGUGCGGGAGAGGCGAGUGGAAUUCCUGGUGUAGCGGUGAAAUGCGUAGAUAUCUGGAGGAAUACCGGUGGCGAAGGCGGCAUCCUGGACCGGCAUUGACGCUGAUGGAGCGAAAAGCUAGGGGAGCAAACGGGG
rnacentral:rRNA from 1 species